CGGAGGAUCCAAGCGUUAUCCGGAAUCAUUGGGUUUAAAGGGUCCGUAGGCGGUUUUAUAAGUCAGUGGUGAAAUCUGGUCGCUCAACGAUCAAACGGCCAUUGAUACUGUAGAACUUGAAUUGCUUGGAAGUAACUAGAAUAUGUAGUGUAGCGGUGAAAUGCUUAGAGAUUACAUGGAAUACCAAUUGCGAAGGCAGGUUACUACAAGUGGAUUGACGCUGAUGGACGAAAGCGUGGGGAGCAAACAGGAUUAGAUACCCUGGUAGUCCACGCCCUAAACGUUGAUUACUCGCUGUUGGCGAUACACUGUCAGCGGCUAAGCGAAAGCGUUAAGUAAUCCACCUGGGAAGUACGUCCGCAAGGAUG
rnacentral:rRNA from 1 species